AUUACAACCUAACUAACUAUAAUAUUAUAUACCAACAAUAUUUUAUAAUUAUUUUAUUAUAUAAAUAAUAACAAAUCCAAAAUAUUUUAUAAUAUCAUCUCAUUUAAAAUGUAUUAUUGACAACUGUAAGAAAAAUAGUACACUACAUGAUUUAUAAUACAAAAAUUAAUAAAUAAAAUAAAAGAUUUGGUUAUCAAUGUAGAAAUUAUUAGAAUGCGU
rnacentral:lncRNA from 1 species